rnacentral:rRNA from 1 species
CCUACGGGUGGCUGCAGUGAGGAAUAUUGGUCAAUGGACGAAAGGCUGAACCAGCCAAGUAGCGUGAAGGAUGACUGCCCUAUGGUUUGUAAACUUCUUUUAUAUGGGAAUAAAAGUUUCCACGUGUGGAUUUUUGUAUGUACCAUAUGAAUAAGCAUCGGCUAACUCCGUGCCAGCAGCCGCGGUAAUACGGAGGAUGCGAGCGUUAUCCGGAUUUAUUGGGUUUAAAGGGAGCGUAGGUGGUUUGUUAAGUCAGUGGUGAAAGUUUGCGGUUCAACCGUAAAAUUGCAGUUGAAACUGGCAGUCUUGAGUACGGUAGAGGUGGGCGGAAUGCGUGGUGUAGCGGUGAAAUGCUUAGAUAUCACGAAGAACUCCGAUUGCGAAGGCAGCUCACUAAACUGUAACUGACACUGAGGCUCGAAAGUGUGGGUAUCAAACAGGAUUAGAUACCCUGGUAGUC